rfam:Enterocytozoon bieneusi H348 SC_2496 genomic scaffold, whole genome shotgun sequence.
UCCCCGUUUGUCUAACGGUUAGGAUUCCAGACUUUCACUCUGGCGGUCGGGGUUCGAUUCCCCGGCGGGGAA